CAGCUCAGUUCAUUGAUUGGAUAUUUGGUUGGUUUAUUCACAGCUGGUUAUCAAAAUUGGCUUUUAUUUUCAAAUCAGAGGUUUCUUUUACAGGCAGCCAUCCAUCCAUCCUUCCUUCCAUCCAUCCAUCUAUCCAGCCACCCAGCUGCUUAUCUGCUUCUUCAUGGUCAGGGUUGCAGUCGGCCCCGGAGCUUACCUGGAAUCACUGGACACAAGUGUGCAUUUCUGAAAUUGGCCACUAGGGGAACUCUGACUAUAAAAGAGACAGGAAAUGACUGGCUCUUCUUUUUUCCUGACCUGGAAGAACAUCCUGCUCAGACCAGCCUGCCAACUAUCAUUUCUUUGUUUCUUUACCAGGUUAUUUUUUAGUUUUCUGCUGUAUCUUUGGGUAAAGUAGACAGUGAGUGUUGAUCCGUUUCUGUUUGUUUUCUGGAUUUUGUUAAAGUUUUCUUGUGUAUCUUUGGGUAAAAUAGGGGGUGAGGGCUGUUUUUUUUUUUACUUUAUUUUUUUGGUUUUGCUGAUGGUUAGUGUAGUUUUGGUUACAUAAGGCUUACAUAAUUUGCAGAUUUUGGUAAAGAAAAAUGUGUUCUAUUGCAUUUAUGAAUGAAACUGGGCACAAUACACCAUGUCCAGGCAAUUUUCAGCUAAUUUGAGUUAGAUUCUAGUUAAAUACAAGCGUUUGAAGAAUGGUCCCAAAUUACUUAAUGUAAGACUAUAGCCUUUUGUAAUUUGCCGAUUUUUGGUGAAAAAUAGUUUUUUUUUUUGUUUUUUUUUUGUUGCUUUUCUAUAUGAAACUGGGCGCAAUACACAAUGUCCAUGCAAUGUUUAGCUCAUUUUAGUUAUAUCUUUCUUUUUUUUGUUUUUUUUUUGUUGCUUUUCUAUAUGAAACUGGGCGCAAUACACAAUGUCCAUGCAAUGUUUAGCUCAUUUUAGUUAUAUCUUUCCUAAAUAUAAGCAUUGAAGAUUUUUUUUUUUUUUAAAUGACACAAAUAUAAGACAAUUUGUUAAGUUUCUGUCUGUGUAUUUUGCAGUGUGCAUUUCUAAAAUUGGCCACUAGGGGAACUCUGACUAUAAAAGAGACAGGAAAUGACUGGCUCUUCCUUUUUCCUGACCUGGAAGAACAUCCUGCUCAGACCAGCCUGCCAACUAUCAUUUCUUUGUUUCUUUACUGGAUUAUUUUUAGUUUUCUGCUGUAUCUUUAGGAAAAGUAGAUGGUGAGUGCUGAUCUGUUUCUGUUUGUUUUCUGGAUUUUGUGAGUUCUCCUGUGUAUCUUUGGGUAAAAUAGGUGGUGAGGGCUGUUUUUGUUUGACUUUAUUUUUUUUGGGUGUUGCUGAUGGUAGUUUUGGUAUAUAUAUUUAUUUUCAGGUUUAUUUAGCUUUUUAUUUUAUUUUGUCUUAUCCAGUGCUUAUUCCUGAAGUUGUACUUAUCUUUUCUGCAAUAAAAUCC
rnacentral:lncRNA from 1 species